rnacentral:siRNA from 1 species
UAGCUCGUGUCCGUAUUGUGUG